rnacentral:rRNA from 1 species
UACGAAGGGGGCUAGCGUUGCUCGGAAUUACUGGGCGUAAAGCGCACGUAGGCGGCUUUCUAAGUCGGGGGUGAAAUCCUGGAGCUCAACUCCAGAACUGCCUUUGAUACUGGGGAUCUCGAGUCCGGAAGAGGUGAGUGGAACUCCGAGUGUAGAGGUGAAAUUCGUAGAUAUUCGGAAGAACACCGGUGGCGAAGGCGGCUCACUGGUCCGGUACUGACGCUGAGGUGCGAAAGCGUGGGGAGCAAACAGG